rnacentral:rRNA from 1 species
UACAGAGGGUGCAAGCGUUAAUCGGAAUUACUGGGCGUAAAGCGCGCGUAGGUGGUUCGUUUAAGUUGGAUGUGAAAUCCCCGGGCUCAACCUGGGGAACUGCAUCCAAAACUGGCGAGCUAGAGUAUGGUAGAGGGUGGUGGAAUUUCCUGUGUAGCGGUGAAAUGCGUAGAUAUAGGAAGGAACACCAGUGGCGAAGGCGACCACCUGGACUGAUACUGACACUGAGGUGCGAAAGCGUGGGGAGCAAACAGGA